UACGUAGGAGGCGAGCGUUGUCCGGAGUUACUGGGCGUAAAGGGUGCGUAGGCGGCUGCGCGCGUGGAGGGUGAAAUCUCUCGGCUUACCCGGGAGGGGGCUUUCCAGACGGCGUGGCUUGAGGGACGGAGAGGGGCGUGGAAUUCCGGGUGGAGCGGUGAAAUGCGUAGAGAUCCGGAGGAACACCGACGGCGUAGGCAGCGCCCUGGCCGUUUCCUGACGCUCAUGCACGAAAGCGUGGGGAGCAAACAGG
rnacentral:rRNA from 1 species